UCAGCUGGGCUGCGAGUAUGGGUAAAACCUUCCUCUCCCAAAUCAAGAAGCAAAACUUUAUCCAGAAGUUACUUUGCUUUUCUGUGAUCACCAGAAGGAAAAUGACACUAAAAGGUCACGGAUAUUUCUGAGCUGAUAUGACUAGGUCUGACUCAGACCAGUGGAAAUUACAGGAUAUUGUCUUGGAGGGCUCUUGAGCUCUCUUGAGUGUGUUUCCUAUUGAACCAGCUUGUGCUGCAUAGUCAGGCUGGUGCAUUCUUUCAGAGAAGAGGCUUGGAUUAGAACUGCAGGCUCGCCUUGAAAAUAAGUUGACCUUCAAACACUUGUUUGGGUAAGGCAUGGAAUAGCUGAGGAGUUAAUGGAGGGCUGGAAGAAAAGCCUGGUUGAUAGAAUCUUCAAGGGACAACCGAAUAAUGAUCCUAACAUCUGGCUUGCCACUCUAAUGCAAGCAGCAUGACAAUAAAACCUGCCAUGAGGUUUUUACAGUGGAAUAUCCAGGAGGAUCAUCAGACAGGUGACUUCAAUGGAUUCUGAUGGGUUAUGCCAGCUGGGGAGCUCCUCUCCCUUGCAGCACAGGGAGGGGUUUGAGAGGAGAACCUGCAGGUGGGGAGGGUGGGCAGCAAUCCCAGCCAGUGGGAAAUGAGUUUAUCUCUGUGCUUAUGGGAAAGGAAGGAUCAGGGCGUGCUUCUCUCCAGGACCAAAAUGUGAGGAGUACAGAGGAUGUCUAAAGAGACAAUUCUUGGUUCAGAGUGGAUGUGAAUGGCAGCUGAGAGCCCAGAGGCUGGCAGUGAUGGGGUAGGAUGCCAUGGUGGGGCAGGGCUGGCAGGUGAGUCCUUCCACAGGAAUGGAAUGUCAGGAAAAUAUUUCAGGCACACCAGCCUGUGAUCAGCUGCUAAGGCUUGUGUAGUGCCAGGAGGCUGCUCUAGGCAUGAUGCUCCUGUGACUCCUAUAGAGAGGCAGAGGAAAGUAAAGCCCAAAGGCAAGGCAGUUUUUAACCUUAAUUUCCAGCUAUUUUCAGAGAGCAGAUGGGAAGAUGGAGACAAGUUCUGCUCUCUGGACCCUCACAAGAAUCCGGAGGCUGCAGAAGUGCCAAAUGCCAGAGCUGAGAAGAGCAUCAUCCAUGUUGAGUGGGGAGAGGGCUGUAAUGUAGCUCAAAUCCUGAUUAUUCCCUUGCAGGAACAAGGACAAGCUGAUUUUGAGGAGUGGUCUCACUGGGGCAAAUGGAAAACAAGUUCUCAAAAUGUUGAUUUGAUCUGGGGUGUUUGGCACAUGCUGUGGGAUGUGCCACUAUGGAGGUGGCCUUGAGUCCUGGCUUGGGGUUAAAGUGUGGAGGAGAGCUUGUUCUUAGAGGAAAAAAAACCUGGAUGGGUGCCAUGAGCAAAGAAAACUUAUUCUCCCUUUGAAAAUGUCUCUGCUACUGCAAUGUAGGUCAUCCCUAGCAGCAAAUAAGCCAAAUUCCCAUCUUUGGCUACACCUGCACCACUGCAGAAAGCUCCCCCUCAGCCUCCCUGACAGCACUGCAAUCCUGAGCAGCACUGCCCAGCUCCCACUGGAGGGGAUGACACCGAUCCUGGGACUGGGAGUGCUGGAAAUCACCCCCUGCUGUGCCAGAAUUCAGGAGCAGCAGCACUGCUCAUUAUCUGAUAUUAAUAGUGUGAUCUGAAGAGGCCACUGCCGCAUUGGGGCUCUGAAGUUAUGCAGCACCAUAAGCUGCUAAACACAUAAAAACACAUAAGAACCUCGUAUUACCCUCUAAGACCUUGAUUGUCUUUAGUUUACUGUGCCUGCUUCACGGUGCUGGGCUUUACAAGGGACAAUAUUCCAGCACAAAAUCCCAAUAUCUUAUGGGAUAAAACUCCUGUAUCAUCACUACAGCCAGAGUGGCUCGUGCUGUGCUCCGUGGGGACAUGUGGAGAAACCAGGAGGUUUCAGUGUUUAAAUGCAGGAUUCAUAUCUGGGAUCCAGGAGGAAAAAAGUGACUGAAUAGCCCUGUUCUUGUUCUUCAGGAGCAAUGACAGCCCCCAGCCCCAAAAGCUGAUAUUCUUCAAAGCCUUUCCUGAGGUGUUUCAGACUUGGUAAAAUCAGAAGAUGCUUUUCGCAGUAAUUGAUGAAAUACUUUUCUCCCCAUAUCAGGCUCUGCACAAAUAUUUCUAGUGAGGAAAAUCUUUGGUUUGAGCUGAUGCAGGAUGGUGUUCAGGACCAUGAGCAGAAAGUUUGAAAGGCUCCUUACAGACCAUAUCUUCUAGUAUUGCCUGCUCAAUCUGACUCAGAAAUCUCACAAUUUUUUCCCCUGGGCACUUUGUUCAUGGUUCCUCUGGGUUUGUUGAAGUUGAUAUAUCUUUAAUAUAUAAAUGACAAUAAUCUGGAUUAAAAGCAAUUUAGAAGAUCACACAAUUAUGGCAUGGUUUUGUUUGAUUUGUGAGCAAUAGCUGCUACUGUGAGUAUCUGGAGUGAAGGAAAAACCACCAUCUAGAAAGAAAAAUAAGGGAGAAAACACCUUGAAUCUCCCUGGCACCCCUGCCACGCAUCUCCCUCUGAUGGAACUGCCCUGCUGCCUCCUCAGGAAAAUUCCUGCAGGUUUGCUUCUUGGAAAGUGAAAAUAACAUUUCAUAAAUGUCCACAGGCAGAUUUCUGCCAGCUAGAAGCUUAUGAGAGGAUUUUUCAAAGGCAUGUUUGACAGUGAGUGUGGUGGCACUAAAUGAUGGGAGGAACAUUUUGACAACUCGGCUCGAGCAGGUGAGGACGUGGCCUUGUCUCGGUUAUUUCUAUCUGGAUUGAGAAGGUGGAGAAAGUAGCCAGGCAUCCUCCUAUCUCACUCAGCACUUUAUCUCGAAUUUACAUAAACUAAUCUAUGCCAAACUCCUGCGAGAACAGCCCUGCCUGAUAAGAACCUGCCCCUACGAUGAUGGACAUCCCCCUGAAAAAUCUGCUCUCACCAGAUUUCGCUGACGAAUCGGAAUCUCAUGCCUUAACCCACACAUCAUUUUGCCUGGAGAUUAUAAUGCUAUUUUAAUUUUUCUACACUUGCUGUUGCAAAUACUACAAAAUGCAAAUCCUCUGGUAUGAAGAUACAGUUAUGUAAGACCUCAUUCAAAGGGUCUUAUUUAAGAAUGUACUUAAGCAUAUGUUCAGUUUCAGCGACACAUCCCAAAAUGUGAGGGUCUUAAAAAUGCACCUGAGAGUUUUCCCUCCCCUCUCCGGGAUUUAAAUAAAACGUUCUGGUGCUAUUUUCCUCUGUAGGAUGACUUAGCAGAAAGAAGAUUUCUUCAGACAAAAUCAUGUUCCUUUUCAGGAGAGAUUCUUUCUGAAAUUAUUUGCAUUAGAAGGUUUUUACAGUGAUGUUUAAAAUUCAUUGCAUAAGAAAUACUGUGUCAUGAAGGAA